GAUGAACGCUGGCGGCGUGCCUAAUACAUGCAAGUAGAACGCUGAAGGAGGAGCUUGCUCUUCUGGAAGAGUUGCGAACGGGUGAGUAACGCGUAGGUAACCUGCCUCUUAGCGGGGGAUAACUAUUGGAAACGAUAGCUAAUACCGCAUAAAAGUCGACAUUGCAUGAUGUUGACUUGAAAGGUGCAAUUGCAUCACUAAGAGAUGGACCUGCGUUGUAUUAGCUAGUUGGUGAGGUAACGGCUCACCAAGGCGACGAUACAUAGCCGACCUGAGAGGGUGAUCGGCCACACUGGGACUGAGACACGGCCCAGACUCCUACGGGAGGCAGCAGUAGGGAAUCUUCGGCAAUGGGGGCAACCCUGACCGAGCAACGCCGCGUGAGUGAAGAAGGUUUUCGGAUCGUAAAGCUCUGUUGUAAGAGAAGAACGAGUGUGAGAGUGGAAAGUUCACGCUGUGACGGUAUCUACCA
rnacentral:rRNA from 1 species